rnacentral:lncRNA from 1 species
GCCGUUUCCAGCAGCUCCUGCAGCUGCUUCUGGACCAACUCUUUGCUCACGCACGCCCCAAGCGUCGUCCCGAUGCACUUGUACAGAAAGUUCUUCUCGGCGGGGAAUCCGUUGUAGCCGUUGAGCUGCCGGCACAUCUCCGUCACGAAGUGGCAGAUCCAAGCGUUGUCUGAAAUGGCUGCCAGCGUCUCCUGGAGGAGCAGCAGCAGCUCCUCUUCCCACUCCUCCGGGUGCAGCGACUUCUCGGUGUUCUCCUCGAUGCGCUCCACCAGCAAAGGAACCCUUUUGCUCCAAAGCUGCUCCAGUGCAGGGUGGACGCUGCAACACAACGCAUGCAGGAGCCGCAGCGCUGCUGCACCCCGACCGUCCCCCGUGUAGGGCCGGGAGGACACCACC